ensembl:lncRNA
CGUCUCCCCAAAGGAAGAGCUUCAGUAGAUUUCCCGGCAGAGGAGGAGGAGAAAAAGGUUUUGCUGUACAUAUUACACGUCCCUUUAGAAUUGUUACCUCGUCGUGUAAUGCGGUGCCAGCACAGGUUUCUACGUUUUUAUGUGCAGCGAAGAACUGGACAAAGCAUACAAUGGGAUAGAACUCAGGUCCUUGCACUUGCGCAUCAGGCGGUGAAACCACUGAGCUAAAUCCUCGGCCCAACAAUAUCUUUUAAAGAAUGUGCACUCGUCUAGGAGAACUAUAAAAGAUUGUGAAGUCCCAAAGACCAGCAGGAGGCCGUUUCCGAUGUAAGCACACGAGGGUCGUUUAUUCAAGCUUAAGCAGGGACUCUCAAUUGUCUCCGACACAGCGGAUCGAGAUUGAGAGCCCCGAGUUCCAAAUUAGCGGGGUUUUUAUAGAGGUUACAGCAAGGUUUGGAGAUUUUCCACUUAGCAAUUACAAUGAUUGGUCAGCGCUUAACAUGCAUGAAGUGUACAUUUCUGAUUGGGUGAACUCAUCAGGGCUAAGGGGUGAUUACGUAUAGGUUUUACAAAAGAAAAGAAGGACAAAGGUUAGUGGGCAACUGUCACGUAUUGAUGGUCAUCAGACUCGGUGACUAAUGGUCACGACCACCCAGCACUGACAGUCAGCACAUUGACAGACUGUUCCUACAGAUAGUGGGCCCAGGAUGUUCAUUUCCUGGGUAAACAGAUGGCUGAGUAAUUAACUUAGGGAUUUUGGUUUGUUACAGAUUGUAUCUUUUGUCCUAGAUCAAGCACAUUUUAAUCAUUAAUGUGAGAGGACAAAGGAGACUACUCCAUUUUGGGCAAAAGUGGAGUCAUUCUGGUUUCACAUAAGCAAAAUGGAGUCACUUUGGUCUCA